AUUGAACGCUGGCGGCAUGCCUUACACAUGCAAGUCGAACGGUAACAGGUUAAGCUGACGAGUGGCGAACGGGUGAGUAAUAUAUCGGAACGUGCCCAGUCGUGGGGGAUAACUGCCCGAAAGAGCAGCUAAUACCGCAUACGACCUGAGGGUGAAAGCGGGUGAUCGCAAGACCUCGCGCGAUUGGAGCGGCCGAUAUCAGAUUAGGUAGUUGGUGGGGUAAAGGCCCACCAAGCCAACGAUCUGUAGCUGGUCUGAGAGGACGACCAGCCACACUGGGACUGAGACACGGCCCAGACUCCUACGGGAGGCAGCAGUGGGGAAUUUUAGACAAUGGGCGCAAGCCUGACCCAGCCAUGCCGCGUGCGGGAAGAAGGCCUUCGGGUUGUAAACCGCUUUUGUCAGGGAAGAAAAGGUUCUGGUUAAUACCUGGGACUCAUGACGGUACCUGAAGAAUAAGCACCGGCUAACUACGUGCCAGCCGCCGCGGUAA
rnacentral:rRNA from 1 species